GACGAACGCUGGCGGCGUGCUUAACACAUGCAAGUCGAACGGAAAGGCCCUGCUUUUGUGGGGUGCUCGAGUGGCGAACGGGUGAGUAACACGUGAGUAACCUGCCCUUGACUUUGGGAUAACUUCAGGAAACUGGGGCUAAUACCGGAUAGGAGCUCCUGCUGCAUGGUGGGGGUUGGAAAGUUUCGGCGGUUGGGGAUGGAUUCGCGGCUUAUCAGCUGGUUGGUGGGGUAGUGGCUUCCCAAGGGUUUGACGGGUAGCCGGCCUGAGAGGGGGGACGGCGACAUUGGGACUGAGAGACGGCGCAGACUGCUACGUGAGGCAGCAGUCGGGAAUAUUGCACAAUGGGCGGGAGCCUGAUGCAGCAACGCCGCGUGCGGGAUGACGGCCCUCGGGUUGUAAACCGCUUUCGACUGUGAUGAAGCGUGAGUGACGGUAAUGGGUAAAGAAGCACCGGCUAACUACGUG
rnacentral:rRNA from 1 species